GUUUCUUCGACUUCCUCAAUGAAUCCUCGCUUAGUUUGUUCUUUAAUAAUGUUGCCAUAACAUUUCAGCAAAUCAGGGGUAGCGGCAAGUCGAUGGAUCAUCGCUCGAGUACGACGCUCACAUGCUAGGUAGUUGUCUGGGAGGGCUGGUGCAUCAUCUUUCCAUGGGAAUUUUGCUGCGUAACUGCCAUUUGGGUUUCUGGUAAUUGAGGUGUUGAUGUAAUUUUCCAGGAAAUCUUGUUGGUUUUCAGUGCGGGUUGGCGGAGUGUUGCCUAUAGAUUCGAGAGACCAGAA